rnacentral:rRNA from 1 species
GACGAAGGAUGCAAGCGUUAUCCGGAUUCAUUGGGUUUAAAGGGUGCGUAGGCGGACCUGUAAGUCAGUGGUGAAAUCUCUCAGCUUAACUGAGAAACUGCCAUUGAUACUGCAGGUCUUGAGUACAGAUGAUGUUGGCGGAAUAUGACAUGUAGCGGUGAAAUGCAUAGAUAUGUCAUAGAACACCGAUUGCGAAGGCAGCUGACAAAACUGUAACUGACGCUGAGGCACGAAAGUGUGGGGAUCAAACAGG